rnacentral:sRNA from 1 species
UGCUACAUCAAGGGGUCCCGUCGGAGCCCC